rnacentral:rRNA from 1 species
UAGGGAAUCUUCCGCAAUGGGCGAAAGCUUGACGGAGCAACGCCGCGUGAGUGAUGAAGGUCUUCGGAUCGUAAAACUCUGUUAUUAGGGAAGAACAAAUGUGUAAGUAACUAUGCACGUCUUGACGGUACCUAAUCAGAAAGCCACGGCUAACUACGUGCCAGCAGCCGCGGUAAUACGUAGGUGGCAAGCGUUGUCCGGAUUUAUUGGGCGUAAAGCGAGCGCAGGCGGUCAAUUAAGUCUGAUGUGAAAGCCCCCGGCUCAACCGGGGAGGGUCAUUGUAAACUGGUUGACUUUAGUGCAGAAGAGGAGAGUGGAAUUCCAUGUGUAGCGGUGAAAUGCGUUGUUAUAUGGAGGAACACCCGUGGCGACGGCUACUCUCUGGUCUGUAACUGACGCUGAGGCUCGAAAGCGUGGUUAGCAAGCAGG